ACCCAAUAUUACAUAUAGGAACAAUGGAUGAAAAAGAAUAUCUAAUACUAAUAAACACAGGACAAGAAGAGAAUAAUAUAAUGGAACAUCUAGUAAAAAAUGAAGAAAUUAAAACUAAUAAUGCUAUAUGUCCAGAUAUACCAAGCAAUUUAAUAAUUAUUAAAAAUUCGACUAAAAAAGAAAUUAUAAUAGGAGUCAGAAAGAUAAAAAUUAAAUUUGAAGUAAAAGAAGAAACACAAAAAGC
rnacentral:lncRNA from 1 species